CACGGGAGAUGUGGGACAGAACUUCGUUGCUAGGAGUCUUAAUGAUCCUCGCAAUUAAUUAUUCACACCAGUAAAAGAAAAAAAGUUAAUGGGCAACCCAGCAAUGGAAGCAACCCUAAGAAGCCGAACAAGAUGGGAAAGAAACAUCAAGACCACUGGUUACUUGUUUUAUCCACUGCUCAUUGGGUUGAACUAGGAAGAACCUAGACUGAACCCUCAUUGACAAAUAAUAGAAAACAUGUCUUCAGAAAGGAAAAAAGCAGCUGUCCCAAAGCAAUAUGAAAGUGGCGCUGUGUAACGUGAAUGCUGGACACAGAGCAGAUUACCAGCUACAGGAGCCAUGCCAGUAACACCUGUCUCAUCUGGAGACUCACUUCAGGGCACAUUCCCUACUUAAAA
rnacentral:lncRNA from 1 species